rnacentral:rRNA from 1 species
AGAGUUUGAUCCUGGCUCAGAUUGAACGCUGGCGGCAGGCCUAACACAUGCAAGUCGAGCGGUAGAGAGAAGCUUGCUUCUCUUGAGAGCGGCGGACGGGUGAGUAAUGCCUAGGAAUCUGCCUGGUAGUGGGGGAUAACGUUCGGAAACGGACGCUAAUACCGCAUACGUCCUACGGGAGAAAGCAGGGGACCUUCGGGCCUUGCGCUAUCAGAUGAGCCUAGGUCGGAUUAGCUAGUUGGUGAGGUAAUGGCUCACCAAGGCGACGAUCCGUAACUGGUCUGAGAGGAUGAUCAGUCACACUGGAACUGAGACACGGCCCAGACUCCUACGGGAGGCAGCAGUGGGGAAUAUUGGACAAUGGGCGAAAGCCUGAUCCAGCCAUGCCGCGUGUGUGAAGAAGGUCUUCGGAUUGUAAAGCACUUUAAGUUGGGAGGAAGGGCAGUUGCCUAAUACGUAACUGUUUUGACGUUACCGACAGAAUAAGCACCGGCUAACUCUGUGCCAGCAGCCGCGGUAAUACAGAGGGUGCAAGCGUUAAUCGGAAUUACUGGGCGUAAAGCGCGCGUAGGUGGUUUGUUAAGUUGGAUGUGAAAUCCCCGGGCUCAACCUGGGAACUGCAUUCAAAACUGACUGACUAGAGUAUGGUAGAGGGUGGUGGAAUUUCCUGUGUAGCGGU